CCUACGGGGGGCUGCAGUGGGGAAUUUUGGACAAUGGGGGCAACCCUGAUCCAGCCAUGCCGCGUGAGUGAAGAAGGCCUUCGGGUUGUAAAGCUCUUUCGGCGGGGAAGAAAUGGCAACGGCUAAUAUCCGUUGUUGAUGACGGUACCCGCAUAAGAAGCACCGGCUAACUACGUGCCAGCAGCCGCGGUAAUACGUAGGGUGCGAGCGUUAAUCGGAAUUACUGGGCGUAAAGCGUGCGCAGGCGGUUUCGUAAGACAGACGUGAAAUCCCCGGGCUCAACCUGGGAACUGCGUUUGUGACUGCGAGGCUAGAGUACGGCAGAGGGGGGUAGAAUUCCACGUGUAGCAGUGAAAUGCGUAGAGAUGUGGAGGAAUACCGAUGGCGAAGGCAGCCCCCUGGGUUAGUACUGACGCUCAUGCACGAAAGCGUGGGGAGCAAACAGGAUUAGAUACCCGUGUAGUC
rnacentral:rRNA from 1 species